AUGGAUGAAUCUGGAGAACGUCAUCCUCAGCAAACUGACACAAGAACAGAAAAUGAAACACCGCAUAUUCUCACUCAUAGGUGGUUACAUUGUUCAAUACAGGCUUUAGGGGAUGAAGGAGUCACAAGACAGAAGAAGACUGAUGCCUUAAAUAUCCGUGUGAGUAAAGCUGUCCAUGGACAGGCUGAUAAAUGAACCAUAUUUUUUUCUCUCCCUUUUUUGUAACUUUUAUUUUAGAUUCAGAGGUGCAUGUGUGGUGUUCAGUUUUCAUCAGUUGUAAGUCUUUGCCUUAGCAAUGUCAUUUUGAGGAAAGGUUCUUGGUUUAAGGUAGCCGUCCUCUAGCUUUUUGACACCUGGCACCAGUUUUUUGGAAGUCAAUUUUUUCCACUGGAAGAGGGAGGAUUGGUUUCAGGAUUAUUCAAGUGUAUUGCACAUACCAUGCACAUUAUUUCUGUUAAUAUUACAUAGUAAUAUAUGUUGAAAUAAUUACACAAUUUCACCUUGCUGUAGAAUCAGUGGGAGUCCUCAGCUUCUUUUCCUGCAACUAGAUGAUCCCAUCUGGAGGUGAUGAGAGACAGUAACAGAUCAUCAGUCAUUAGAUUAUCAUAAGAAGCACACAACCUAGAUCCACAGUGUUUGUACUAGCUUACAUUCCCACUAGCCGUGUAAAAGUGUUCCAUAUCACCUCUUUCAUACCAAGAUCUGUUAUUUUCUGAUUUUUAAAUUGUGACCAUUCUUUUUUUUUUCUUUUUUAAAUUUUAUUUAUAUAAAUUUAUGGGGUGCAAGGGUAAUUUUGCUAAAUGGGUAGAUAGCAUAGUGAUGAAGUAAGGGCUUUUAGGGUAUCCAUCACCUGAAUAACAU
rnacentral:lncRNA from 1 species